rnacentral:rRNA from 1 species
GAGUUUGAUCGUGGCUCAGGAUGAACGCUAGCGACAGGCUUAACACAUGCAAGUCGAGGGGCAGCGGGGGAGUCAGCUUGCUGACUUUUGCCGGCGACCGGCGCACGGGUGAGUAACACGUAUGCAACCUGCCCGCCACAGGGGGAUAACCGGGAGAAAUCCCGACUAAUACCGCGUAGACCGCGAGGGGGCAUCCCGACGCGGGGAAAGGACAUGGUCCGGUGGCGGAUGGGCAUGCGGCGCAUUAGCUAGUUGGCGGGGCAACGGCCCACCAAGGCGACGAUGCGUAGGGGUUCUGAGAGGAAGGUCCCCCCACAUUGGUACUGAGACACGGACCAAACUC